CGUGCUUAUAAAAUCAAUGCCUUCCGUUGGUUGACUUACUGCUCAUCGACGAGAUCCUGCUUCCAACACCCCUUUCCCCUUCCUUUCAUAGGAUUUCGGAUCUCUAGCGCAACCAUACUACUUGCAGAAGCUGUUGUGGUUUCGUUGGUUGGUGGCUUGGUGCUUUUUUGAUCGAUUUUGCAGCCGAUCGAUCGAAUACAAAAUUACCAGUGUAUAAACUUGUUAGGCAACCAUGUCCGCACGCGAGCCGGCGAUCGGACCUCCUGUUCACCCAGCGGCGCCCGCAGCCGAGCCGGCGAUCGGCCCUCCUGUUCGCCCUGCGGGGCCCGCAAUCGAGCCGGUGAUCGGGCCUCCUGUUCGCCCAGCGGGGCCCGUAGGCGAGCCGGCGAUCGGGCCUCCUGUUCGCCCUGCGGGGCCCGCAAUCGAGCCGGUGAUCGGGCCUCCUGUUCGCCCUGCGGGGCCCGUAGGCGAGCCGGCGAUCGGGCCUCCUGUUCGCCCUGCGGGGCCCGCAAUCGAGCCGGCGAUCAGGCCUCCUGUUCGCCCUGCGGGGCCCGUAGCCGAUCCGACGAUCAGGCCUCCUGUUCGCCCUGCGGGGCCCGUAGCCGAGCCGACGAUCAGGCCUCCUGUUCGCCCUGCGGGGCCCGUAGCCGAGCCGGUGAUCGGGCCUCCUGUUCGCCCAGCGGGGCCCGCAAUCGAGCCGGCGAUCAGGCCUCCUGUUCGCCCAGCAGGGCCCGCAAUCGAGCCGGCGAUCGGCCCUCCUGUUCGCCCAGCGGGGCCCGCACGCUAGCUGCCUUCGCAGCAACGGCACUAGGCGCCCCAUCUCAAGAGGCCCAUGGGAUCCUGUGGGAAUCAAUGCUGCAAUUUCAAGUCAAUCUAGUGCUGUUUAUCUGCAUGUUUUCUCUUUCAAUUUGUGGUCUGUGGAGGGGAGUUCCAUAAUUUGUUGAAAAUUUGUACUUCAAUAAUAUGUGCUGCUCAUACAUAAUUUUGUGCGGGUAAUACAUACAUUUGAUUACGAGGAUGUUGUAUUUACAAAAAUAUCAUGUUGUUGUUGUUGUU